GCGUUCGUGGUGUAGUGGUUAGCACGUUCGACGUGUAACCGAGAUUUCCGUGGUUCGAUUCUCGGUGAAGGCG
rnacentral:tRNA from 1 species